rnacentral:rRNA from 1 species
GUCCGCACCGUAAACGAUGAUUACUCGCUGCUAGAGGGCAACUUUUAGUGGCUUAGCGAAAGCGAUAAGUAAUCCACCUGGGGAGUACGCCGGCAACGGUGAAACUCAAAGGAAUUGACGGGGCCCGCACAAGCGGAGGAGCAUGUGGUUUAAUUCGAUGAUACGCGAGGAACCUUACCAGGGCUUGAAAGUUAGGGAAUAUCUCUGAAAGGAGAUAGUCAGCAAUGACCCCGAAAUAGGUGCUGCAUGGCUGUCGU